rnacentral:rRNA from 1 species
GGAUGAUUGAUUGGGGCUGCUCCUAGUACGAGAGGACCGGAGUGGACGCAUCACUGGUGUUCCGGUUGUGUCGCCAGACGCAUUGCCGGGUAGCUAAAUGCGGAAGAGAUAAGUGCUGAAAGCAUCUAAGCACGAAACUUGCCAAGAGAUGAGUCAUCCCUGACUUUAAGUCAGUAAGGGUUGUUGUAGACUACGACGUAGAUAGGUCUGGUGUGUAAGUGUAGUGAUACAUUGAGCUAACAGAUACUAAUUGCCCGAGAGGCUUAGCUAUACAACGCUCAAG